UGGUGAGAGAGAAAUUUUAAGGAAUAAUUUAUUGAAAAAGCCACAAGGAAAAGAGCCACGAGUGACAUGUGGAGGAGUCCCAGAGGCUUAGUGGUAUAGAUCCACUGUCUCUUUUGGGUAUUUAAUUUAUGAUUUAUAAUGUGUUAUAUUGCCAAUAUUAGGGCUUUUUGUUUAUUGUCAAUUAUAUGAAUAUAUAAAUGUAAUCAUGCCUUUCAAA